CUAUACCUACGGGAGGCAGCAGUGGGGAAUAUUGCACAAUGGGGGAAACCCUGAUGCAGCGACGCCGCGUGAAGGAUGAAGUAUUUCGGUAUGUAAACUUCUAUCAGCAGGGAAGAAAAUGACGGUACCUGACUAAGAAGCCCCGGCUAACUAUGUGCCAGCAGCCGCGGUAAUACAUAGGGGGCAAGCGUUAUCCGGAAUUAUUGGGUGUAAAGGGUGCGUAGACGGAAGAACAAGUUGGUUGUGAAAUCCCUCGGCUCAACUGAGGAACUGCAACCAAAACUAUUCUCCUUGAGUGUCGGAGA
rnacentral:rRNA from 1 species